UACGUAGGGGGCAAGCGUUGUCCGGAUUUAUUGGGCGUAAAGAGCGUGUAGGCGGCCUGACAGGUCUGCUGUGAAAACUCGAGGCUCAACCUCGAGAUGUCGGCGGAAACCGUCUGGCUAGAGUCCGGAAGAGGAGAGUGGAAUUCCUGGUGUAGCGGUGAAAUGCGCAGAUAUCGGGAAGAACACCCGUGGCGAAGGCGGCACUCUGGGACGGUACUGACGCUGAGACGCGAAAGCGUGGGGAGCGAACAGG
rnacentral:rRNA from 1 species